AACACAGCAGCGCUCCGCUGACGUCACUUCCGCCUCCAGCUUCAAACCUGGAAGAGAGCUUGGGGACUGCAACCUCAGCCAAGCUGAACGUCCUCAGGCAGAGAUUCUGGUUUACUCCCCAUGGCUACGGAGACGCCUUGGAGACCUUGGAGUCGGCUCAGCUUGAGGGAUGAAGGCCAAAAGGGGCCCAGAGCACAAGGCUGAGCGCCGCUGGGUUGGGGUCUCCAUGACCGAGCUGGUCUCAGCAAGUGGCGCCCAAACAUGGGGCUCGAAUCCGGGUUGAAGAGCGAUGGUUGGAGAAAGUGGAACUAUGCUGGAGGACACCCGAGUACUCUUAAGCAAUCCCCGUGGUGAGUAAGAAGGAGAGCUCGGAAGCAUCAGGGUAACAAUGGGACAAGAGUCGAGUAGGCACGAGGCUUAUUUGAGUCUGCUUUGGCAGCUCCUCAGAAAAGGAGGAGUGAAAGUUAGCACUAGCCGACUUAUGCAGCUUUUUAGUGCGGUAGAGAAAUAUUGCCUCUGGUUUCCGAACUGAGGAACUAUGGAUGUAGAGGUCUGCGAGAAGGUAGGCAGCGCACUGAAAAAGGCAUAUAAAGAUGGUGCUGAGGAUAUUCCUAUAACUGUCUGGUCAGUGUGGUCUCUGAUUCAUUCCACCUUGGAACCUUUUCACACUGAGGAGGAGGAGGAAGGAGACAAAGAAGAGGGGGAGUGUGAUAAUGUUGCAGAAGAGAUAAAAGAACAGAUUUGUCAACCGCUUAAAGAAACCCAAGAAGGGGAAGCUUGUCCCUGCUCCUUGGCACCCCCUCAAUACCUUGAAGAUAAAGAAUGGCCUGACCCUCUGGAUAUUUCUUUUCUGGAGGACACUGAGCAAAAAAUAGUCUCCCCAGGAACUGUUCGAGCAGCACCCCAAGUGACUGCCCUCAGUUCUAUUCAGGCAGGAAUUCAGCAAGCUAGAAGAGAAGGUGAUUUAGAGGCUUGGAGAUCCCUGUUAGGAUACACCCCCCAGGUCAACAGGGGAAUGUUAGGGCUACAUUUGAGCCUUUUCCCUUUAAAUUACUGAAAGAGUUUAAACAGGCUAUCAGUCAGUAUGGACCAGGUUCUCCUUUCAUGAUGGGUCUGUUAAAAGAAUGUUGCUACCUCCAGUCAGAUGAUUCCCAUUGAUUGGGACGCUCUUACUCAAGCCUGUCUGGCUUCUGCUCAAUUUUUACAGUUUAAGACCUGGUGGAAGAUGAAGAUGAAGCUUCUACUCAAGCUGCCUGCAAUGCACAAGUUCAACCUCCAAUUAAUAUAACUACAGACUAACUUUUGGGAGUCAGUGGCUGGGCUGCAUUAGACGCACAAGUAAUCAUGCAGGAUGAUGCUAUAGAUCAGCUUACAGGAGUGUGCAUUAGAGCUUGGGAAAAAAAAAAUCUUCAGGUGGAGAACAAUACCCUUCUUUUAGUGCUGUUAAGCAGGGGCCAAAAGAACCUUAUGCAGAUUUUAUAGCUCAGUUACAGGAGUCUCUUAAAAAGGUGAUUGCAGAUUCGACUGCUCAGGAUAUAGUGUUGCUGUUAUUAGCUUUUGACAAUGCUAAUCCUGAGUGCCAGGCUGUUGUGUGACCUAUUAGAGGGAAAGCACAUUUAGUUAAUUAUAUCAAGGCCUGUGACAGUAUUGGAGGUAAUCUGCAUAAAGCUACUCUGUUAGUGCAAGCCAUGGCAGGGCUGAGAGUGGGUAAAGGAAAUGUUCCAUUUCCUGGAGCUUGUUUCUACUGUGGGAAACAUGGGCAUACAAAGAGAGAAUGUAGAAAAAAUCAGAGGGUCCAACCCCCCUUUGAUGGAAAAAAGAAAACUGCUGAACCAGGUCUACACCUGAAGUGUAAAAAGGAAAGCCUUUGGCCAAUCAGUGUCAUUCUAAAUUUGAUAAGGACGGAAACCCGAUUUCGAGAAAUGCCAUGAGGGGCCCGUCCCAGGCCACAUGUCAAACCAGGGCAUUCCUGGCUCAGGUCACUCCCUCACUCCUGUACAAUGCUUGUCCCCCGCCACAGCUGGUAGUGCCACAGUAGAUCUGUGUUUCACCAGGGCUAUGAGUCUAUGGCCUGGAAAGCCGACACAGAAAGUACCAACAGGAGUCUGCAGACCUCUGCCAGCAGGAACGAUAGGACUACUUCUGGGAAGAUCUAGUUUAAAAGGAGUGCAGGUUCAUACAGGAGUAAUUGAUUUGGAUUGUAAUGGGGAAAUUCAAAUUGUUAUAUCUACCUCCGUUCCUUAAAAGGCAGAGCUGGGACAGCAUAUAGUGCAGCUUCUGAUUUUACCAUAUGGGGGACUAGGAAAAAGUGAAACUAAAAGAACAAGGGUAUUUGGCAGUAUAAAUAAACAAGGGAGAGCCGCCUACUGGGUAAAUCAAAUUACUGAUAACUAUCCUACCUGUGAAAUAACUAUUCAAGGAAAUAAAUUUACAGGUUUGGUAGAUACAGGAGCAGACAUUUCAAUCAUUUCUCUACACUGGCUGUCCACAUGGCCAAUUCAACCUACUCAAUUUAACACAGUUGGAGUUGAUAAAGCCCCUGAAGUAUAUCAGAAUACUUAUAUUUUGCAUUGUGAAGGCCGAUGGACAACCUGGGACUAUUCAACCAAUUAUAACUUCUAUACCUAUAAAUUUAUGGGGGCUCUCCCCCUAUAAAUUUAUUACAACAUUGGGAAGCACAAGUUCUAAUUCCUGAGCAAUUAUACAGCCCUCAAAGUCAACAUAUGAUACAUGAAAUGGGCUAUGUUCCUGGUAUGGGACUAGGAAAAACUAUGCAAGAUUUGAAGGAAACUCUUCAAGCAGAAAGACAAAGUUCCCGCCAAGGCUUAGGAUACCAUUUUUUAUGGCGGCCAUUGUUAAGCCUUCAGAGCCCAUCCCGUUAAAAUGGCUGACAGACAAGCCAAUAUGGAUAGAACAGUGGCCUCUGAGUAAAGAGAAACUGGAGGUUUUAAAUGAACUAGUCAAAGAACAGCUUCAAAAGGGACAUAUAGCUCAAAUCCUCUCCCCUUGGAAUUCCCCAGUUUUCGUAAUUAAGACACAACCAGGUAAAUGGAGAAUGUUAACUGACUUAAGGGCAAUUAAUUCAGUUAUAUAACCUAUGGGGGCAUUACAGCCAGGACUGCCUUCUCCUGCUGAUUCCAAAAAAAAAAUUGGCCUUUAAUACUCAAAGAUUUCAAAGACUUGUUUCUUUACUAUCCGUUUAGCUCAUCAGGACUGUGAACGGUUUGUAUUUACAAUUCCUGCAGUAAACAGCCUGCAGCCUGCUAAGCAUUUUAAUUGGAAAGUGUUGCCACAAGGCAUGUUAAACAGUCCAACAAUUUGCCAGACUUACAUAGGGCAAGCAAUUGAACCUACUCAUAAAGAUUUUCACAGUGUUACAUUAUUCAUUAUGUGGAUUAUAUUCUUUGUGCUUCCCCCACUCCAGAAAUAUUACUCUAAUGUUAUGAUCAUUUGCAAAAUUCAAUUUCUCAUGCCAGUUUAAUUAUAGCUCCUGACAAAAUUCAGACUACUCCUCCUUACUCCUACUUGGGGACCUUAGUAGAUGACACCACAAUAGUGCCACAGAAAGUAGCCAUAUGUAGGGAUCAACUGAAAACAUUGAAUCAGACUUUCAAAAAUUACUAGGGUAUAUUAAUUGGACACAGCCUGCUCUAGGCAUUCUGACUUAUGCCAUGAGUAAUCUGUUUUCUAUCCUUAGAGGAGAUCCUAGUGUCACAAGCCCUCAGCAAUUAACAAAAGAAGCUGAGGCACAGCUGCAGCUAAGUGAAAAGCAAGUCCAUAAGGCCCAAAUAAAUAGAAUAGAUCCAGAGAAUACUCUAGAUUUGCUAAUUUUUCCAAAUCAUUCACUUACUGGUAUUAUUGUUCAAGAGCAAGAUCUUGUAGAGUGGCUUUUCCUUCCACAUACUGAUCUACGGACUUUGACUCCUUAUUUGGAUCAAAUUGCUACUAUGAUAGGAAAUGGGAGAACUCAGAUUGUUAAAUUACAUGGAUAUGAUUCUGAAAAAAUUAUUGUCCCUCUCACAAAGACACAAAUACAGCAAGCUUUUAUAAAUA